GAUGUUUCUGUUAACCUAUGAAAACUGUCUUCUGCUGAAGAGUGUGGCAUGCCUUUCAUGGGAUAAUGGAUGUAUAAUAUAUUUCCAGAGGAGAUUUAAA